rnacentral:rRNA from 1 species
UACGUAGGGUGCAAGCGUUUGUCCGGAAUUAUUGGGCGUAAAGAGCUCGUAGGCGGUUUGUCGCGUCUGCUGUGAAAACUCAGGGCUUAACCCUGAGCCUGCAGUGGGUACGGGCAGACUAGAGUGUGGUAGGGGGAGAUCGGAAUUCCUGGUGUAGCGGUGGAAUGCGCAGAUAUCAGGAGGAACACCGGUGGCGAAGGCGGAUCUCUGGGCCAUAACUGACGCUGGAGGAGCGAAAGCAUGGGGAGCGAACAGGA